rnacentral:rRNA from 1 species
UACGUAGGUGGCAAGCGUUGUCCGGAUUUACUGGGCGUAAAGAGCGCGCAGGCGGUCGUUCAAGUCGAGUGUGAAAGCCCCCGGCUCAACUGGGGAGGGUCACUCGAUACUGAUCGACUCGAAGGCAGAAGAGGGAAGCGGAAUUCCCGGUGUAGUGGUGAAAUGCGUAGAUAUCGGGAGGAACACCAGUGGCGAAGGCGGCUUUCUGGUCUGCUCUUGACGCUGAGGCGCGAAAGCUAGGGUAGCAAACGGG